GAAUAUCUGCUACUAUCCUAACAUGUACGUAUAUGCAUGUGUGCUUGCUUGACCGGCGCAUGCAUCACGGUAGCAGCCAAGCCAGUAGGCAUCAUCGACGUCUACUCACAGCUUUCCUCGCACCGGAGAAAGAGUCAAAACAAAAAAAUAUUAGACCAUAAUAUGGCACCAGACCAUAAAUUAGUAACUUUAAAUCACAAAGUAUAUCCACAUCACCAUAAAUUAGUCCCAGACCAUCACGUAGAAGCCAAAUACUAUUAACUGAUGAUUAGUACACACAGACAUGAUUCAGCG
rnacentral:lncRNA from 1 species